rnacentral:lncRNA from 1 species
UGCAGUGGCACAAUCUUGGCUCAAUGCAACCUCCACCUCCUGGGUUCAAGUGAUUCUCGUGCCUCAGCCUCUCAAGUAGCUAUGAUUACAGGCGUGCGCCACCAGCCCAACUAAUUUUUGUAUUUUUAGUAGAGAUGGGGUUUCGCCCUGUUGACCAGGCUGGUCUGGAACCCCUGAGCUCAUGCAAUCUGCCUGCCUCGGCCUCCCAAAGUGCUGGGAUUACAGCCACUGUGCCUGGCCAAGUAAAUUUUAAACUCAUUUUUUGAAUAAGGAACCUGAGGCAGAGAGAAAUGAAUACACCUUAUAUCAACUUCCUCUUUGGGAAAGGAAUUAGUAUAGAAGGACCUGGAAAUUUACUAACGACUGAUAGUCCUAUAGGUAAAUAAGCCAGCAAACGUCUGCAGUCCAGGAAACUGCAUCAUCAGCAUUUAGUUUGUUAACAGUGAACCAUCUAAUGAGAAUCUGCAACAAGGAUAGGACACAUGAGAAGUACAGAUGGUAUUUGCAAGUACCCUAGGUGUGACCCUAAACUGGUCAUUCCACCUCUCUCAACCUCCCUUUCCUCUACUUUAAAACGGGGCUGUGCAACUUGGUCAUGUCGCUGAAGAGUUUUGGAAAACUGAAUAAAUAACGAGCAUGAAGUGCUUCCUAAACCUUUAAGGACCUCAAAAAACAAAACAAAACAAAACUUUCAACAAGCAGAUGUAGAAAAUUUAAAUUAUAUUUGGCCUACAAGUAAAGGUUACUCCAUGCUUCCCUACCUCAAAUGUCACUCUCUCUGGUACUGAGAAAAUCUGUGUCGCCUGUUAUAAGGCAGUCUACACAAGACCAACACGCUAACCCACUGCCAGCUCAGGGUUAUCAAACAUUUACACAGUGGCCCAGACAAAAAUACCCCACGGAAACAAAACAAAAACAAACAAACAAAAACCCAGAGAGAAAAACCACCCUUUAAAGAUUUGGCCUUGGGUUUUAAAUUUGCCCAUCCUUUUUUAACACUAUGUAUUGACAAUCUUUCCUUCAAUGAUGCCUUGUUCUAAUUUCUGUUUUUCACAUCCAUUAAUGGCACAUGAUAGGCCAGGGGUUGCUGCCAUAGCGUAAACGGAAAAGGUGCCUGUAAUCCGGGUGUGUAAUGUACUGGGCCAUAUUCUGGUCCCCAGUUUUCAUGGGUUUCCCAUGGUAGGCUACCCACUGGCUUAGGAGUAUUUCUAGCCCUUAGUGGAGUAAAAAUAUUAACACCUAACACUUGAUUCCCACCUUUAAGAUACAAUUUAAAGAAAUGCUAAAAAGGCAAACGGCUCAAAAUGCCUCCACCAGGCACCUCCAGGCCCACACCGUGCGGGUCCCUAUGGCCCACUCUGGGGUGUCCUUCCAGUGUUCGACACUCCCCGGCCCACGGCCCUGCCGGCCUCCACGGGGCACAACUCAACCCGCGAGUCCACGCGGGACACUCCCCGGUCUACAGCCCCACCGGCCUCCUCCACGCGGCACCCCUUAACCCGGGAGUCCACGCGGGCCACUCCCCGGCCCACCGCCCCGCCUGCCCCCACGCGGCAGGCUCCCUGCAGACGGACGCUCCUCUAACCCGGACCCGCCUAGGAGCUCCAGCCGCCUCACGAAGCCUUCAGAGGCCUCUAUUAUCAAAAGUAUCUAUUUAGAUUUGGGUAGUAAAACCAAAGGGGAUCAGAAGUGUAGCAGUGUGGGUCCUCCCUCCCUGCAUAGCUGUUACCAGGAGGCAGUGUGCCUGAAGUACUUUCACUCACAUAUGCGGGGCUUAGUCACUAGCAAACUUGUUUUUCUUUUUUACAGAUUUUCCAGCAAAGUUAUUAAAUAUCAAACUCAAAUAAUGGACUCCGCAUGGAUGCACUCUGAAGUCAUGGAACACUUCUUCUUAGUUACCUUCACACAAUAAGCCAUAACAUAUAGCUUUCGGCUGUUCACAAUUAAGCAACAGUGAAGGCAAAGUUAGCAAGAACACCAGAUUAUUUUCUGUAGCACACCUUCAUUAACUAUUAUUAUUUAACUGCCUUAUUUUAUGCUUUUUAUAGCCCCCACAAAAACGAAAAAACCCUGUCUCAUCCUCAGAUUAAGCAUUUUCUCCAUCUCCCUACACAACCAUUGUCUCCUUUCAUCUGUCAAUUUCUGGGGUUGAAUUUCCCAACUUCAGUAGAAAUGAUAAAAAAGGCAACCGCUGGAGUGUACCAUAGGGAGACACAAGAGGAAAGGUGACACUAAGGCUACAGUGCACAGAAAACAGACCAGGUGUGGCUUUGACUGUGCGGACCUGCCCACUAGCCUAUGCUACAGAUUUGAAAUG